rnacentral:piRNA from 1 species
UGAACUAUAAUUCAGAAACAAAGUAUCC